GGGCUUUUGGAGCUGCUAGAUUAACCGCAGAACAGCAGAAGAACUUCUAGCUUGCUACCGCGGUCACCUAUUUUGGACUGGCAGAGGGUCUGACUGUAAAAGAAUCUGUCUGGAGAAUAAUGUCAAAACUAGCAAAUUAAUUGGCGCAGAGUGAAUGGGAAGUAUGGCUUUGAACCACUUGCCAUUAAAGAUGUUGUUCUCACUAACUUUUAUUUGUGUAUCAUAGUGUUAAUUUAUUUUCAUUGUUAUAGGAAAAAUAUUUACACUUUCUUGCCGAGAGUUAGAUGAGAAGAUUGAUAAAACUGUCAUGUCUAUAUGCUAGAUAUAAAGCUUGCACCAGGAGAUGGUUAACUUUGUGCAGCGUAAAAUAAUAAUACAUUUUUAAAUAAUAAAAAUAAAAACAAUUUAGUAAUGAAAAAUAACCAAUAAGAUUAUCAAUAAAGAACCGUAUAAGGCAUAUCAAUAAAAUAAAGAUAAAAUUCUAACAAUAUACACAGCUCUUUAAUAAAGUAAAAGUAUUUCUUAUCAGAUGGUAAAUCAAUAUAAUAAUCAGUGGAAUACUUGAUUACUAAAAUAGCUGUAAGCUAUACCCAUUUACAGGCUGUGAUACUUGCCAAAGUACUGACCAUGCAGGGUGCCGAAGCUUUUGUUAUGGGCCUUUUUCUUUUUUGUCAUUUUGAAACUAUAAAAUAUGUCAAUUGUAUUCAUUUAAAAUUAAAUCUACAACACAAUAAAGUCUGCAAAAAGUGAAGGGGUCUGAAUACUUUCACAGACGACUAUAUAACCCCGUAAAGUGCUAGUUUUUUCCAGUCUUUAUGCUAAGUUAGGAUAACCAGCUUCAUGUUUGAACAUGCAAACUUGUGCCAUAUUCACCUGAUUGAUAAAUUAUUAUUUUUUUCUUUUUUUUUUUUAAGAAUCUGUGCGAAGAAAUGCAAGUACUGCCAGUGCGUCAGACUGAGACAUUGAAAAGUUCAUUAAAAGAUGAAUGCAGAUUGCAUCUGACAGAGAUGGGGGAAGAAGAGAGCAGGCCCUAAAGCAAGCAAAUUCUUUCUACAAUGUUUAAGCUGAUGUAAUGACGUAUGUUCAGUGUUGCCAGAAGGCUCUGUUUACGGCAUGUAUCUGCGAGGAGGAUUUGACCGUCACAAAUAGUUUAUCACGAACAAUAGCCACUGUAACAGGGAGAGAUGGCAGCCUAAUGUCCAAGGAUAUUUCCACCAGAGCAGCGCAGUUUUAUCCGGAUGAACGGGCGAAAUAUAUGACUUUACUUCAUCACUCGAGGGUGGAGUCAUCGGCUACAGCAAGAUUUGCUGAUUGGAUAAAUCACAUUUGCAACACUGAUCCAGACUCUUAUUGGUUUUAUCCGGAUGAAUGGGCGAAAUAAAUGACUUCAUCAUUUGGCUUCAUCUAAAUUGGAUAUCAAGAUUCACUCCUCAGGGUGGAGUCAGCGGCUACAGCCAGAUUGGCUGAUUGGAUAAAUCACAUUUGCAGUGCUGAUGCAGACUCUUAUUGGUCAAGUUUAUCUGCAAUAUGUUUUUUACAUAUAUUUGCAAGU